AUGCUCCGGCCUGACGCGCUCGCUUCGCCGUUUUCCCCCCUCCCCUGCACAGUGGGACAGUCCUCUGCCUCUGCGCACCUUCUCCACGCAAAGGGGGACCAAUGGGCUCUUCCUCCCGCUCCCACCCCCGUCCUGAGAAUGCUUUCAAAGGUUUUGGAUCUGCCACCAGAAAAAUUAAUAAAGUCCAUAUCUGCAGUUCCUGUCUCCAAAAAACGGCGUGUUGCUGAUUUCCAGCUUUCCAUUGCUUCUGUAACAGAAGACAGUUCUAGUGAUUGCUUAGCACAAGACCUUAAUCUUCAAGCUCAGAAGCUAGCUGAAAGGCUAAAAUGUGAUGCUGUAGUGAGUGAAAUCAGCACCGGUCCUGGAACACUGAACUUUACAAUAAACAGGGAAUUAUUGGCAAAGACUGUGUUGCAGCAGGUGUUGAAAGAUGGCUCAGAGUAUGGAGUAAGAAGUGAACUUUUCUCUACAGUACCUAGACAAAAGGUAGUGAUUGAGUUCAGCUCCCCUAAUAUUGCUAAAAAGUUUCACAUAGGACACUUGCGUUCCACGAUAGUAGGGAAUUUUAUAGCAAAUCUCAAAGUUGCACUGGGCCAUGAAGUAACGAGAAUAAAUUACCUUGGUGACUGGGGCAUGCAAUUUGGCUUAUUGGGUGUUGGUUUCCAACGCUUUGGCAACAAAGAAAAGCUAAAAUUCAGUCCUUUACAACACCUUUUUGAGGUGUAUGUGCAGAUUAACAAAACAGCAGAAGAUGAAAACACAAAAAAGCUGGCUAAGGAUUUCUUUAGAAAACUGGAGGAACAUGAUGAGCAGACAUUGUCACUUUGGAAACAAUUCAGAGACUUCAGUAUUGAGGAAUACAUCCGAGUUUAUAAGCGUCUAGGAGUGCACUUUGAUGAAUAUUCUGGAGAAUCAUUUUACCAAGAGAAGUCCCAGGAAGUUCUAAAGAUGUUGGAGGAUAAAGGACUCCUUCAGAAAACUAUCAAAGGGACAGGAAUCGUGGAUCUUUCAGAAGAGAAAGACCUUUCAACGUUUUCCACUGUCAUGCGUAGUGAUGGAACAUCGCUUUAUAUAACAAGAGAUCUUGCUGCUGCUAUAGACCGAAUGAAUAAGCAUAGCUGGGAUACUAUGAUUUAUGUGACAGAUAAAAGUCAAAGUAAUCACUUUCAACAUUUGUUCCAAAUACUGAAGCUCAUGGGUUAUGACUGGGCAGAAAGGUGCCAGCAUGUAUCUUUUGGUCUAGUUCAAGGGAUGAAGACUCGGAGAGGAGAAGUAAUUUUCCUGGAAGAUGUUUUAAAUGAAGUUCGCUCAAGGAUGUUACAAAACAUGGCUUCCUCAAAAACAACCAAAAAGAUAGACGACCCUGUGGAGACAGCAGAGAAAGUUGGUCUUGCGGCACUAAUAAUUCAGGACUUCCGGGGCCUUCUGUCAUCUGAUUAUCAGUUUAGCUGGGAUCGAGCUCUUCAAAGUCGUGGAGAUACAGGCGUGUUCUUGCAGUACACCCAUGCCAGGCUCCAUAGUUUAGAACAGAUGCAUGGGAACGAGCAGCUAACUGACGUUAAUGUGGCGUGCUUGCAAGAGCCAGAUGCCAUCGCUGUUCUUCAGCAUCUUCUCAGGUAUGAUGAGGUCCUCUAUAGAUCUUCUCAGGAUCUGCAACCCAAGCACAUUGUCAGCUACCUCCUCACACUCAGCCAUCUUGCAGCCGUGGCACACAAAACUCUUCCUGUGAAAGGCAGCACCCCUGACCUAGCCCAGUGAGAACAGUCUUUAUACCAGCAGCUGGAAGGGAUUCUUUUUGUCAUUUUCCUGUAACAGAGAGCACCCACAAAACCCCAGUCAGGGCAGUACAGUGAUCAAACAGAGGUCUGAAUAGGUGAGAGACACUAAUAAUCAGUUCUGCAACAGAAACAUGCAUUUGUUCGAAAAGCUGAAUUUGAAACUAGAAUUUGCAAAUCAGCUCUACUUUUCUUCAUCAACUGGUAAGUAAUUAUGUACCAUCUAAAAAUGAUGUAAUUACCAGAUGGUGAGCUGGACUAUAAGUAAAUAUGAGAAGUUGAGAAUACGGUUGAGUAAAUAAUUGACACAGCUUAAACUAUCAUAAACUUCUCUUUUGAAAGACAAUCUUUUGGCAUUCAUCCAUUCAAUGUGCCUUCCUGGAGAAACCUUAAAAGUAAACACAGCGAAGGCAUACUGUGAGAAUGUGGAAGAAAACAAAUUCUGCAGCCGGAACAAUGCCAGAGUCAUACUCCAGUAUCCUGAAUAUUGCAGUAAUCAAUGCCGGCUGUUUCAAAAAGACAAAGGUACCCACCCAAAUGUAUCCUGCUGUACAGAAAAAACAGAUUGUUUUGUAUCCUCUAACUGGUUAUUAAACUACAAAGGUCCCUUGGGUGAGAUAAAUUCCAGCAUAGUUUCCUUCAGUGUCUCCUUUACAGCUUCCUCCAGUUUUAAAGUCCUAACCAAUUUAUGCUGUUCAACAUAUUCACAAGUGAUCUAAGAUGGGAGAUUACUAGGAAAUGGGCAAAUUUUGCUGAUUAUACUCAAUUAGAUGUGAUAUCCAAAAGGAAACUUUCAAUAGUUGCCAAAGGGUCUCUCACUACACUGAGCAGAAUUCACCAGAUCUUUUGCCAUCUGAGAAACAGCUCAGUUACCUGGAGAGCAAAGGAAGGCAUCUGAACACACCAGCAAGUGAGACAUCCUACCAAGAAGAGGCAAGCACGGCCUGAUAAAUAGUGUCUGCUGGUGCUCAUCUCUCUCAGCUACGGAGAAAAAAACCCUGCUAGCUGACCAGAUCAGAAUAGAUAUUAUAACCUUCAAACAGCUCAGUGAAUCAGAUUCACUCCAUGUUAGUUGGCAAAUAAAGCUCAGUUGUCAAUAAAUGAGAAAGAAUCAUAGGAAAUGACAACCCCAAAAUACAGCAACCAUCUCUAAACCAGCAUUUGGGGAAAAGAUGCGAGUCGCUCUCCGACAGUGCCAGCUCAAGGCUCAGCUGUGUUCAGAGAAACAAGCAGAAUGUCACAAAUCCUUAGAAAAGGAACCAAGACCAAGACAGAAAGGAUCUUCACCCCUCUGCCUAAUCCCAUGGCACAUUCACAUCCUGAAUGCUGCAUGCAGCUCUGGAUCCUGUUUCAAAAGGGAUGCAACAAUACUGGAAAUGCUGUGGAGAUGGGUACUAGGAUGAUCAUGGAAAAAUUCGACUAGGACUCCCAGCUUAGAAAAUAAAUGAGUGAUGAAAACACAAUACAGAUCUGUAGGGAUAUGAAAAUAAAAAUGAAGGGGGGAAGAUUAUUCAUGAUGUUUGUCAACACAAGAAGACAGAAUCCAGUGAAACUGGUAGAUAAAAUGUUUAUUAAAAAGUACUUUUUCAUAUACCGUGUAAUUAUAUUGCAGAAGUCAUCUCACAGAGUAGGGACUAACAUUUCAAAAACAACUGGCCAGUCUCACAGAGGACGGGGUUGUUAAGCACUACAGCCACAGUGUGCACACAGCAUCCAGGCUGGGAAACCCAUAAGCUUCUGCCACCAGCUAAGGAAAGUUCAGCCCAUGCUCACCCCAUUGCCUACACUUCUGUUCUAAGCAGCCUCUGCUGACUACUAUCAAAGGGAGGACGAUGGGCUACAUGGAUUUUUGGCUGUGCAGGACCGUUCUAAAAACAUAAUAGACUUCCGAGUUAAAAACAAUUGCCUUAUUAAUUAUUUCAAGCAAAAAGACCAUUCGUACAUUUAACGAACACAUUAUUACUGACCCUUAUGAAAAGGCAGACUGCUUACCCUGCUGAACUAGGCCUCUCUGGUAUACUAUCAACAGCCUGGGUCCCAGGUGUGCAAGAACAGAUUUGAGAAAUUGCACACACAGGUGAGGCUACCAAAUGCCACCCACAGGUCCCUCACUACUGAGAAACAUGGGCUGCCGCAGUUUCCAGAAAACAGCCUGGAUCAGGAUCCACGCUGGCCACAACACUGCAAGAACCACAACGCAACUACUCAUCGGCAGAGACGCUUCUGCCAACAUUUUUUGCUGGCAGAGUGAAAAGCCCAGGGUGAACAAAAAGAAAAA